rnacentral:rRNA from 1 species
GUACACUCCUGCGGGAGGCAGCAGUGGGGAAUAUUGCACAAUGGGCGCAAGCCUGAUGCAGCCAUGCCGCGUGUAUGAAGAAGGCCUUCGGGUUGUAAAGUACUUUCAGCGGGGAGGAAGGCAAUACGGUUAAUAACCGUGUUGAUUGACGUUACCCGCAGAAGAAGCACCGGCUAACUCCGUGCCAGCAGCCGCGGUAAUACGGAGGGUGCAAGCGUUAAUCGGAAUUACUGGGCGUAAAGCGCACGCAGGCGGUCUGUCAAGUCGGAUGUGAAAUCCCCGGGCUCAACCUGGGAACUGCAUUCGAAACUGGCAGGCUUGAGUCUUGUAGAGGGGGGUAGAAUUCCAGGUGUAGCGGUGAAAUGCGUAGAGAUCUGGAGGAAUACCGGUGGCGAAGGCGGCCCCCUGGACAAAGACUGACGCUCAGGUGCGAAAGCGUGGGGAGCAAACAGGAUUAGAAACCCCAGUAGUCCCAUGA